rnacentral:lncRNA from 1 species
CAUGGAGCAGGGAGCGAGGGAGCCCGGGGCGGGCCGGGGGCCGAGGCUGCCCCUCUCCCCGGCUGCGCCCUGCCUGCUCCGGGCGGGCGGGCAGCGCACGGUUGCCAGCUGCGCGCACAGGCCGCCCUGGCCCCCGCCGCGACUGCCCCUCGCGGGCAGGGGACGAGCCGCUUCAACGGCGGAGCGACGGCAGUAGCAUCUUCCUUCCUCCUCCUCCUCGCCGCCUCCCGCCGCUGCCAACGCCGGCUCCGCUCCCCCCCGGCUCCUUCGCCUCACGUACGGGACGACCGGCCGGACCGCUUCAGGACGGCCCCGACGCUGCAGCGCGAGCAGGAGGUGGGAAGGAGGCGGCUAGAGGGGAGGGGAGAGCGCAAGGUCCGGCGGCAACUGUGAGAGAACCUGCGAAAGCUACAAACAUGUCCGCCUUCCUGUUUGAACACUUGGGGGGGGGGGAAGGCUGGGAGUGAGGCGCAGCGCGCAUGCGCCGACCACACGGCUCUUGACGGGCGGGGAGGGGAAGGAGGCAGAAGACACACGCAGCGGUGUGCGCAGGAGCAGACAGGAGAGCCCGAGAAAACUGCCAUUUCAGCCGCUCCCUGUGAAAGCUGCCGGCAUCCGCGAGGACGGUCGCUUCCCGCCGCGGCUCCGCGGCUGCUCCCGCAGAAGAGAGCUGCCGCUAACUUUGACGUCGAGCUGCUACCGGAAACAGCGGCUGCGGGGUUUCUCCGCCGCUGGGUCCGGCUCUGCCUUGCGCACCGGGCGCGCGGUGCGGGAGGCAGCGAUGUGCUCGCUGCACGUACGCUGCGAGAAAGGGGCAGGUGGCUCUGCCGGGGGAAGCAGCGUUCGCUUUUCUGAAGGCAGUCCAGGGUAUGCGGGUCUGUGUUCUGCCAAGAGCCGCGAGUGAGGAAGCGCGCCUAACUCGGGAAGAACAGAGAAAGGAUAGGUACAGCAUUAAACAUUUAACCAGUGCAGGAUGCCGUGGUAUUUUCAGCUUAAAUGUUAAUCUGAGACUCCAGCAGGGCCUGUUUCUUCAAAAAGGAAACUCAAGAAGCAUUUUUAAAUAAUUUAAGACAGUGGCCACAGUGCUGGUUCAGUGCUUUGACUUCCAUUGCAAUUCCAGAAAUGGCAAUGGCAUUUUUACAAAAAAUCAUUACAAUUCAGAGAAUGCCAGGUCAUUAAUCACUGGUCACUGAACAAUUGCCAGUAGCAAACCUGAGUCACUAGCACUAUGAGUUAUUUUCAAGUUC